UACGAAGGGGGCUAGCGUUGCUCGGAAUCACUGGGCGUAAAGCGCACGUAGGCGGGUCUUUAAGUCAGGGGUGAAAUCCUGGAGCUCAACUCCAGAACUGCCUUUGAUACUGAGGAUCUCGAGUUCGGGAGAGGUGAGUGGAACUCCGAGUGUAGAGGUGAAAUUCGUAGAUAUCCGGAAGAACACCAGUGGCGAAGGCGGCUCACUGGCCCGGUACUGACGCUGAGGUGCGAAAGCGUGGGGAGCAAACAGG
rnacentral:rRNA from 1 species